rnacentral:rRNA from 1 species
CCUACGGGAGGCUGCAGUAAGGGAUAUUGGUCAAUGGGGGAAACCCUGAACCAGCAACGCCGCGUGAGGGAAGACGGUUUUCGGAUUGUAAACCUCUGUCCUCGGGGAAGAGGAUGACGGUAGCAGAGGAGGAAGCUCCGGCUAACGACGUGCCAGCAGCCGCGGUAAUACGUAGGGAGCGAGCGUGGUCCGGAUUUACUGGGUGUAAAGGGUGCGUAGGCGGCUUGGCAAGUCAGUAGUGAAAUCCCUGGGCUUAACCCAUGAACUGCUAUUGAAACUGUCGAGCUGGAGUGCAGUAGAGGUAGGCGGAAUUCCCGGUGUCGCGGUGCACUGCGU